rnacentral:lncRNA from 1 species
AGUUGUAUAUCUUAGUUGCACGUCCUUCUUGUUGUGGGUUGUGGGACACUGCCUCAACGUGGCCUGACGAGCGGUGCCCUGUCUGCGCCCAGGAUCUGAACCCUGGGACGCCGCAGCAGAGCGUGCAAACUUAACCACUCGGCCAUGGAGCUGGCCCCUCUCUUUUAAAUACCUACUCCUAUAAAACUCACCCUUGGAUGUUAAUACACAGCUCAGUUGCCUGUUUAGUGUCAUUCACUCUGCAAUGACAGUGCAGUGUUUGUUCCAAUUUGAACAUUUGCUUGCUUGCUAAUUUCAAAAAGAGGUAAACAUCUGGGAAGUCAGUUUCUAUUUUUACAAAAGAAUUUAGAGAGAGAGAUUAUAAAAUGACUUCUUUUCAAAUGGACUGUAGAACUCUAAUACUGCCCAAGAGAUCAUGAAAUUCCAAUUGUACAUGAGCCCAAAAGGCAGAACAAUGGCCCCCACCAAUGUCUGUCUCCGGAGAGGUCCCUCUUCUCACCAAGAUGCCCCUAGAGACCACCAGGCUCACAAAGUUCCCUACUACGAGGCCAGUGUGCUUAGUUUACCAUCACUACCUCUUCAGUCAUGCAAAAUCUCCUGUGUAAAAUAUCAUCCAGCAUGGCCUGCCAAGCGGUGCCAUGUCCACACCUGGGAUCUGAAGCGGCAGGCCCUGGGUCGCUAGAAGUGGAUCCUGCGAACUUAACCGCUGCGCCACAGGGCCGGCCCCAUGUCUUUCUACUUCUGAUGCUACGUGAUGAAGAUAAUGGGUUCAAAACUGUGAAGUGAUUUACCCAAGGGCUUAUGGAAAUUUUAGAGAAAAGCCAGCACUUCAGAGAGGCUGUUAGAGAGUGUCUAAAAUCUUCAUACAGAGGACCAUGGAAGAAUCACUCUGUCAUUCUGCUUUCUGCCCAUAGGGGAUUAGCCUGGCUACUGGGUAUAUGAGCAGGUGAACUCUCCAGUUUUAACACAGCAGACAAUGCUACACGUUGCUACAUCUCACCGUUCUUCCUGGUCAUUUCGUGAGAUGAGCCUUCAUGGAGAUGAAAAUUGUUGAUUUUCGACCAACGAUGGUAUAUAUUUUUCAAAUAUUUAAUGGACAUCUGUAUGUUUUCAGUUGAAUUAGCUCCUCAAAUCUUUGACUUUUUAUAUAUUUCUGCAAUAGUCACAUUCCUGUUUAUUGAUGACUGUAUAUGUACCUUAUUAACUUUUGUAUGUCUUAUAUUGCAAGUAGUUGUGUUUCCUUAUAGUAAUGUAAUUCUUCCGUUUAUUCAAUAAGUAAAUCUUGAAUGGCUCUAUCAGCUGUUUUAGAGCUAGAGUUCUGGGAAGAGAAAAGCCAAGUUCAAACACUGCUUUCAUCACUAAUAGCUGGGUGAGUUUCAUUUUUAACUUUGUAAAUUUUGAGUUUCAUCUUUGAUUAAAUGUAGAAAACAGUUUUUAUACUUUAUAGUAUCAGAUUAAGAUUAAAUGAGGUAAUGAAUAAAACACAAUCAUGACAAUAGUCAGCAAAAUCUUCUUCCAUAUAUACCAGUGUCAAUGUAAUGAUAGGCAUUGGAAAUAUGAAGACCUAACUGACUUUUGCUAGUUGCAAAGGUAUUUUUCCAAAUGCCUAAAUAGAACUCCCAACUGGAUAGCCCUACUAGGAGAUC